rnacentral:snRNA from 1 species
AAAAAGGGCUUCUGUCGUGAGUGGCACACGUAGGGCAACUCGAUUGCUUUUCGUGCGGAAUCGACAUCAAGAGAUUUCGGAAGCAUAAUUUUUUGGCAUUUGGGCAGCUGGUGAUCGUUGAAAAAAAAAAAAAAGACAGCACUACCAAAAAAAUGGGCAGAAGUUUUAAAUGCACAC